CCAUGACAACGGCACAAUAGCAAGGUUCAACGAUUUUGUGAAUAUUUUAAAUAUUAAACUUCAUUCCAAAUUUUAGCUAAGUUGAAAUAAUGUUUUUGUUGAAAUCUCAUAAGCACUAACAUGUUGUUCAAAUUUACCCUUAAAAGAAAACUAUUAUACGAGUCAACAUGUGAACUUUUCUGAACCUUAGUUUUGCUUAUGUUUGAGAUUUCAAAAAAUCACAAACUGCACUAUACCCCCCUAGUUAUUUUUAAAGAUUAGAGUUGAUCUGGGACUGGGCAGACUGUGGUUGAAUGUGGUUGGGUCAGCAGGGAAGAAUCCUAUAGUCAGUUUGGAAAGCCCGACGGCAACCCUAAUCUCUACUGAACUGACCAGACAAACAUUGCUUAAUUGCGGCGCCGGUUGAGUGGAGACUGCGAACUACGGCUGGUGCCCGAUACCACCGGCGCGCUCCGCCUCUCUCAGUCCUAGCUUCCGGCCCGCCCCUUCCUCCCGGGCCGGGCGGCGCAGUGCCUCCCAGUUCCAGGGUUGCCAGACGUGGCCGGAACAAAAGCCCGGCACACAAAGGCCAGAGGGGGAAGCGGGACUCGUCCCCGGUUGCCCCGUCUCCCUGAAGCCUUAAGUUCUGGUCGCCUUCUGAGCAACCCUUGACUCGAUCUCCAUAGCAGGCCUUCCUCGAUGGCGGCCAUGACAGUUGCAUCCGGGUAUUUCGAGGAGACGCGGGCAGAACCUCCCGGAAGUGACGCGACCGCGGAGUGAUCCGCGUUCUGCUGAAGGAGACUGGGGUGAGAAGUUUCCAGGAAGCAGGUCUGUUGGGUCCGCUAUCGGUGGCGGGGAGAGUCUGUGUUCUUAGUAACAACCAACUCUUUCUAGCACGUUUUACGUGCCAGUUAUUGUGCUAAGCACCAGCAUUGUCAUACCAUUUAAUCCUUACCUCACAACCACCCCAGGAGUUAGAAACUAUUAUGUCCAUUUUAUAUACCGGGAAACUAAAACUGGGAGAGGGUAAGUGAUUUGGCCAAGAUCAUACAGCUAGUAUUUGAUGGCGUUAGAUUCUUACCUAGGCAGUUUGAUUUGUAAAGCCUGUGCUUCCGGUUAACUCUUAGAAAGACGGGGAGCGGGUGUAGCUGAGUGGUUUGAGUGCCAAAGAGCCUCUAUUUAGGAAAGACCAAGUCCCUUGCACGUACCAUCCUUGUAACCCACUUCUGAGACCACCAUUCUCACCAACUGCUCAACAUCCAGUUGACCAGUGAGUGUGGCUAACACACAGGCACUGUCAUCUUUAGGGUGGGCUCAUGACCCAACAGUGUGCUAGGAUUACUUUUACUAAUCUAGGAUUUCACUUUGUUUUGCCCUUCUUUCUUCUGGCACAUGCAGCUGCCUUGGAAGCUGCAGAUUAAUUGAGGAAACUACCACAGGCUAUUGAGCUCUGGGAAAUAUUUUAAUCUCCUGUCAGGCACUUAUCAAUUCAGGACUGUUCAGACAAUUGGAGACCUGUCACCAUGAUCAAAUACAGUCUCUGGCCUAAACAAAGGACUGGCAGCUAUUUUCAUUGACUUUCCACCUAAUGGUUUCAUCUCUCUCCUAUUUCUUUAGAAUGUGACUGAAAAAAUCUAUUGUUCGAUCUUAUUUCUAUAUUAACUAUAACCAGCCCUCAAAUAAUAAAAUGUGUAUAGCCACUAAGGCAGGAGUUCUUACCAGGGGUCCA
ensembl:lincRNA